AUCGCUUCUCGGCCUUUUGGCUAAGAUCAAGUGUAGUAGCUGUUCUUAUCAGUUUAAUAAUGCAAUGAACACGAAGGUGCAUAUAUGUUUUCCAUUUAGUGUUUUCAUUUCCCUCUGAUAAAUACCCAGAAGUGGAAUUGCUGGAUUAUAGGGUAGUUUAUUUUUUAUUUUUUGAGGAAAUUCCAU
ensembl:snRNA U2 U2 spliceosomal RNA